rnacentral:misc_RNA from 1 species
CAGAGAACAUGCCCCUUUGGGGUAUAUCUCCCACCCAUUGUUUACAAUACCUUUGUUGCUUUGGCAGGCCUGUCUCAUGACUACUGGCUUUAGCUGGUCCGUGCCUGCCAGAGGACCCCAACACUCUUUUUAUCAUGUCGUCUGAGUACUAUAAAAAUAGUUA